rnacentral:rRNA from 1 species
AGUGAACGCUGGCGGCGUGCUUAACACAUGCAAGUCGAACGAGAACGGGUUAUAGCUUGCUAUAAUUGUAAGCUAAGUGGCGCACGGGUGAAUAAUGUAUAGGUAAUAUGCCUCUUACUAAGGGAUAACAAAUGGAAACGUUUGCUAAUACCUUAUACUCCUUAUUAACAGAAGUUAAUAAGGGAAAGAUUUAUUGGUAAGAGAUUAGACUGUAUUGUAUCAGUUAGUUGGUGGGGUAAUGGCUUACCAAGACUAUGACACAUAACUGGUUUGAGAGGAUGAUCAGUCACACGGGAACUGAGACAAGGUCCAGACUCCUACGGGAGGCAGCAGUGGGGAAUAUUGCACAAUGGACGAAAGUCUAAUGCAGCAACGCCGCGUGGAGGAUGACAAAUUUCGGUGCGUAAACUCCUUUUAUAUGAGAAGAUAAUGACGGUAUUAUAUGAAUAAGCACCGGCUAACUCCUUGCCAGCAGCCGCCGUAAUAC